rnacentral:rRNA from 1 species
GAUGAACGCUAGCGGGAGGCUUAACACAUGCAAGUCGAGGGGUAAGAGGGUAGCAAUACGCUCUGAGACCGGCGCACGGGUGAGUAACGCGUAUGCAACCUGCCCUUUACAGGGGGAUAGCCCGGAGAAAUCCGGAUUAAUACCCCAUAGUUCUGUGACCUCGCAUGGGGAUGCAGGUAAAGUCGUGAGGCGGUAAAGGAUGGGCAUGCGUGACAUUAGCUAGUUGGCGGGGUAACGGCCCACCAAGGCUUCGAUGUCUAGGGGUUCUGAGAGGAAGGUCCCCCACACUGGUACUGAGACACGGACCAGACACCUACGGGUGGCAG